rnacentral:rRNA from 1 species
GAUUAUGGCUCAGGAUGAACGCUAGCGACAGGCUUAACACAUGCAAGUCGAGGGGCAGCACGGGAGUAGCAAUACAACUGGUGGCGACCGGCGCACGGGUGAGUAACGCGUAUGCAACCUACCUAUCAGAGGGGAAUAACCCGGCGAAAGUCGGACUAAUACCGCAUAAAACAGGGGCACCGCAUGGUGAUAUUUGUUAAAGAAAUUCGCUGAUAGAUGGGCAUGCGUUCCAUUAGGUAGUUGGUGAGGUAACGGCUCACCAAGCCGACGAUGGAUAGGGGAACUGAGAGGUUGGUCCCCCACACUGGUACUGAGACACGGACCAGACUCCUACGGGAGGCAGCAGUGAGGAAUAUUGGUCAAUGGGCGGGAGCCUGAACCAGCCAAGUCGCGUGAAGGGAAAAGAAGGAUCUAUGGUUCGUAAACUUCUUUUGCAGGGGAAUAAAGUGCAGGACGUGUCCUGUUUUGUAUGUACCCUGAGAAUAAGGAUCGGCUAACUCCGUGCCAGCAGCUGC